UACAGAGGGGGCAAGCGUUGUUCGGAAUUACUGGGCGUAAAGGGCGCGCAGGCGGCUGCUCAAGUCAGGCGUGAAAGGCCUGGGCUCAACCCGGGAAUUGCGCUUGAGACUGGGCUGGCUUGAGUGCGGGAGAGGAUGGUGGAAUUCCCAGUGUAGAGGUGAAAUGCGUAGAUAUCGAGAGGAACACCUGCGGCGAAGGCGGGUAGCUGGGCCGACGCUGACGCUGAGGCGCGAAAGCCAGGGGAGCGAACGGG
rnacentral:rRNA from 1 species